CUACUUAUCUUGCAUAGGAGAUACCAUGGUCAUGAAGAUGGUUCUCCCAGGGUGAGGUUCACCCAUUGCACUCUGGGUAUGCUGACCCCUGUGAUUUCCCCAAAUGCGGGAAAAAUGUCUGCAGAAUUUGUGGUAGUGAGGCACUGCGUUUGCGCUUUCCCCUG